GGCCGACUAGCUCAGUUGGUUAGAGCGUCGUGCUAAUAUGAUGUUAACGCGAAGGUCUUGGGUUCGAUCCCCACGUUGGCCA